UUUCCGUAGGUGAACCUGCGGAAGGAUCAUUCAUAAUAAAGUGUUUUAUGGCACUUUUUAAAUAUCCAUAUCCACCUUGUGUGCAAUGUUAGAUCUCGUCAAUCUUGGCGAGAUUUUUAUACAUCAACUCAUUUUUUAACUAAUUUGUCUGAAGAAUAUUAUGAAUACUUAAUUCAAAAUACAACUUUCAACAACGGAUCUCUUGGCUCUC
rnacentral:misc_RNA from 1 species